AUUGAACGCGGCGGCAUGCCUUACACAUGCAAGUCGAACGGCAGCACGGGAGCAAUCCUGGUGGCGAGUGGCGAACGGGUGAGUAAUACAUCGGAACGUGCCCAAUCGUGGGGGAUAACGCAGCGAAAGCUGUGCUAAUACCGCAUACGAUCUACGGAUGAAAGCAGGGGAUCGCAAGACCUUGCGCGAAUGGAGCGGCCGAUGGCAGAUUAGGUAGUUGGUGAGGUAAAGGCUCACCAAGCCGUCGAUCUGUAGCUGGUCUGAGAGGACGACCAGCCACACUGGGACUGAGACACGGCCCAGACUCCUACGGGAGGCAGCAGUGGGGAAUUUUGGACAAUGGGCGAAAGCCUGAUCCAGCCAUGCCGCGUGCAGGAUGAAGGCCUUCGGGUUGUAAACUGCUUUUGUACGGAACGAAACGGCCUUUUCUAAUAAAGAGGGCUAAUGACGGUACCGUAAGAAUAAGCACCGGCUAACUACGUGCCAGCAGCCGCGGUAAUACGUAGGGUGCAAGCGUUAAUCGGAAUUACUGGGCGUAAAGCGUGCGCAGGCGGUUAUGUAAGACAGUUGUGAAAUCCCCGGGCUCAACCUGGGAACUGCAUCUGUGACUGCAUAGCUAGAGUACGGUAGAGGGGGAUGGAAUUCCGCGUGUAGCAGUGAAAUGCGUAGAUAUGCGGAGGAACACCGAUGGCGAAGGCAAUCCCCUGGACCUGUACUGACGCUCAUGCACGAAAGCGUGGGGAGCAAACAGG
rnacentral:rRNA from 1 species